UUAACUCAAAUUUGUAUGGAGUUGGAACGUUUGCCUACGUUUGCCGCUAGGGGCGCUGUUCCAACUGCUCAAAAUUUGAGUUA
rfam:Bombyx mori DNA, contig: Bm_scaf129_contig38930, strain: p50T/Dazao, build 2, whole genome shotgun sequence.